rnacentral:rRNA from 1 species
UACGGGAGGCAGCAGUGGGGAAUAUUGCACAAUGGGCGCAAGCCUGAUGCAGCCAUGCCGCGUGUAUGAAAAAGGCCUUCGGGUUGUAAAGUACUUUCAGUCGUGAGGAAGGUGUUAAGGUUAAUAACCUUAGCAAUUGACGUUAGCGACAGAAGAAGCACCGGCUAACUCCGUGCCAGCAGCCGCGGUAAUACGGAGGGUGCGAGCGUUAAUCGGAAUUACUGGGCGUAAAGGGCACGCAGGCGGUUAAUUAAGUUGGAUGUGAAAUCCCCGGGCUUAACCUGGGAAUGGCAUUCAAGACUGGUUAGCUAGAGUCUUGUAGAGGGGGUAGAAUUCCAUGUGUAGCGGUGAAAUGCGUAGAGAUGUGGAGGAAUACCGGUGGCGAAGGCGGCCCCCUGGACAAAGGACUGACGCUCAUGUGCGAAAGCGUGGGGAGCAAACAGGGAUUAGAUA